AGCGCGUCAAUCUGUUUGCUAUGCAAAUCCCAUCCGACCGGUGCUGACGUAGACGGUAACACCAACGCAGAAACGGGUCCGUCGACGAUAUCUCCUACUAACACACUUAACGGUGAGCAGUUAGUCAUUGCCCGCGUAGCAUACACGUAGAAAAUAUAAUUGGCUACCACGACGGACCACGCAGCAAUUCCACACGGGUUCUCCUUUAGCCCCACCACUUUUCUGCUCGGUAAUACUGAUACCGAACUCACUACACAACUCUUGCCAGCACCAAUACUACUUAGACAUAUAGUGCUGUUGUUACUACUACGAUUACAAUCACCAACCGUAAUAUCACCAAUACAACGACGACAUCGUGUCGGUAAACGCACCGCAAACUUCACAAACGAAUUCCUCUUGCGACUUACACGGUUCCGCACUGAUAUAUAUACAUAUCAGUGCGGCUCCGCGACUCUUGUCUGACGUCAUUGGCGCCUAAUCGCAACGUAUUUCGUGUAUCACUUCGCGUACUUCUCUCGGACGUGCACCUCGCGCUUUAACUAACGAUAAAUUCUUCCUGUGUCUUUCUUCCUUUUUUCCGUUUUGCCUUUCUUCCCUCGCGUGAUUCUCAAGAAUAACGUUACGACGCGAUUUCAAUAGUCUUGGUUCAACAAGUAUCUAUGACGGAAUUUUCUUUUCUUUUUAGUAUAAGUUUGCUAUCGCGAAAACGAUACAGUGUUACGCAGAAAUCAGUUUCUUCGGUUCGAUGAAUCUUCGCUUGACAGCCAACAGGGACAACGUCGCUUCGAGGAGACAGCUGGGAUGCACUAUAACGUUACAAUUUCUCGCUCAUUCGUCCUCGAUUGAGACGAUAAAGAACCGAUUCGAUCUACCGUAAGGUACGAUCUUGAAGCGCGUAUCGCGUAUCGAGUGUUUAAUCGCGCCACUCACUCGGCACAGGCACAAACCGCUUUCCACCGUGUCUAAUACGUUACUACUCAUCACUCUUCCUACAACAUAAUUCCUGUUCGACAACACUACACGCACUUUCCACGCUCCUGCUUGAUCGUCACCACUACCACUACCACUACUACUAUCACCACAAUCUUUUCUCACUAAAAGAAGAUGCUCGUACUGUGUAGCUGCGUUGCGAAACGGAUGCGCGCUCGCCUCAACAAGUGAUCGCAGCAGCAGUAACAGCAGAAGCGGCGGCGACGACGACGGAUCGUCAGCUCGUCGUUCCAGGGUCGUUCGUCGGCGUAUAGGUGGCACAGCACGCGCAUGCUACACCUCCUGACGGCGUUGUUAUUGUUGCGUAACUGGCGGCCCGCUAAGCCGAGUGUGCCGCUGCCAGCAGCCGGGCAGAGAGAGAGAGAGAUAGAGAGAACGAGAUGACGAGAGAAAGAGGCCGCGAGAGCGAGGUAACAGCAGCCGUGGGUGAGCCAGUGGGCGAGUAUCUCCGACGAGAGAGCAGUGAGCGUGCGAGCAGUGCGCCGUCUGGCGUGGCUGACGACAGUCUACUGCCUUCCGAGAACCACGAGGCGAUUCCGUGUAUCGAACGCGCACUGCCGAGCCACUGAAGGGAUGGACUCGAACGAUCAGAGUGGGGAUCCUGGUGGGACGAGAGGGGACGAAUUCGAGGUUCAGACGAGUGUAAAGCUUCAUCCACACGCAUUCAAUCUUCCGAAACGCUCUUGGCUAUACCACGCUCGUGAUUUAUAACGGGUUCUCUGCGAUGGGUUAAUACUCUACGUUCAAACAUUUCCGUAGAUUCCUCGCAUUUACAGCUGCUUAAUAGCAAUAAUUGCGUUAGUAGAAGUAUAAAAUUAAAGCAGAAAAUGUAGUACAUCAGUUUAUCGGUUUCAUGAACAUCUCAACAAGUAUAGUUAAUGACUAUAUUUCAUUUAAAUACGUAUUUUAAAUGGAUUGUGUAUUUUAAAUGACUUUUCGUUAGUUAACGUCUUUAUUGGUUGUUGUUUGUAUGUUAGUCAACAUAUCUUUUAUUACUCGUUUUAAAAUAGGUGCUACGCCUAAAAAAAAAAAUAUAUAUAUAGAUGUAUAUGUGUGUAGAUUUAAAUUUUAUAUUCACAAUAAAUUAUAAUUGGAAAAUUUAAAAGUGAUAAAACGUCUUCGCGAAUAAUAAUUUACUUGUAUAAAUUUCUAUAGCAAUACUUAUAAGUAUGUAUUUAAGUUUCGAUUUAUUUAUUUCGAAUUUAUUACGAAAUUUCCUAGGGAGCAUUACAAACUCUAAAUUUUUAAUUACAAAUUCCUACAUUAAGUUUCGAGCAAAACAAUUAGAAGACUAAUAAACAAAGUAUAUGUAUAUUUUUGCUAUGUCAUUAUUUUUUCUGUGGUAAUAGUAUUAAGCGCUCGUACACUCAGCUUUGUACAUUUCAUGAGUUGUUUCAAUUAUGGACAUAGAGCAAACUGCUUUUUUGGUUUAUAUAAACUAUACGUUAUAUGUUUACACAUAUACAUGUCCUAUAGUAUCUAGACAAGUCGGGUGCGUUUCGUACACUAAACGUAGAAAAGAACAUGUGGACAGACUUUAACACCGAGAAAGCCUGUGGAGAGGUAGAGUUAGCGAUACUUGACUAAAACCCACAGGGACGUACUCUACUACGCUCUCUCUCUCUCUCUCUCUGAUCUAUACCUCAUAUUCAAAGACGAUAAUGAGGCUUUUAACAGUGGCCUUGUGUCUCUACACAUUAAAUGGAAAUUCGAGAAAAUACCUGACUGCGAUGAUUCCUCACUGCAACUACCUUUUACGUCACGCUGAUUUUCUGAUGAGAUGUUUGAUGGAUUUUCUUUGAUAUCAUCGAGAACGGUUAAAGGUUGUUUGAAAUUGCUCGACAAUUUCCGGUGCAAACGACAAUGUAUACGGCCCUGCAGGAGGAGCAAUAAGAGGACUUGUAAGGACAAUUUUAUCGCACAUCGAUCCCAUCGCUGUGCUCGCGCUCGUAGAGUGCUGCUUACGGAUCUUCGAACGUUCAGGCAGCAAGUGGAAGCGUCGUGGAGUAGAGGAAGAGGAAAAGAGGGGAAAAAUGGAGGGAGGAGUAGAACGGCAGGGCAUUUCGUGGAAUGUCCUGGCGUUUCGGACGAACACCAGGCGGACUCCACCGGAACUCCGAUCGAGCACAGGCUUGCGUCUUCUAGCCUGACUGGUUGGCUGGUUGGCUGACUGGUUACUCGCCUAUACACAACUUGCCCGACUUGUACGUUCCAUGGUUCAGUUUACAUCGGCUCGACAAUCAACGGUCGAGGCCUUCCUUCGUCUCUUCUCUGCUACUUCUAUGUAUGUGUGUAUGUACUAUCGUGGCCAGUUUUUCUCUUCUCCUCUCUCAUUCUCGAUUCUUCUUUAGUCUCUUUUUACUUUGUUUCCCCCACCACCAUCUCUCGAUUUCUUUUCUCCCUUUUUCCUCUAUUUCUUCAGUUCCUCCUUUACCCUUUUCCUUUGACAACUUUUUGUUUCUGUUUCUUUGAUGAUCUUUCUUUGUUUAUUCCUCUCUCGCUCUCUCUUCCGUUUGCUCUUUUUUCCCCCCACUGCUGUCCCCCCCCCCAUGCGUUUCCACUUUUGGCGAAGUAAUAACAAUUUUUACAUUUAUCUACGUACAUGGAACAGUUUGCUUGAGAUCUUUUACGUGAGAAUAUGCGAGUAUACGUAUCUAUGUAUACAGCACUCUGUUUGAGCUUCUAGUUUUCAAUUUCUAUGAAUCGUGACGACGAUUUUCCGCGCUUUGACAUUAAUACUCUUAUCACAAACGAAGAUGAAUUUUUAAAGGAUACAGAUAAGUAUUUUAUGUGCAAAAGUAGGUAAAAAGGACACUUUCAUUCGUAUUCACUUUAGCGGUUCCAGCAAUGAUAUAUUCUUCAAAUAUAGAUAUAAAUAAAUUCAGGAAUUCGAUGCGUUUAUUUGAGUAAAAUAAAAUUAUAUCCUAUUUCUUUAUAUUGGAAUUUAGUUGAUUUACUUAUUCGAAAUUACUAGAAUCUAGUGGUCAUUAUAGUAUUAUUUUCUUUGACAAUGUAAUUAAGUUUUGUAUCCAUUUGUGAAAGUAAAAAUAGUGACAAUAGCUAUAAGUAUAAAAUUUUAUUGUAAUUCUGAAAUGAUUGUUUUCACUAGUUUUGUUCUUUCAAAAUUUCUUUUAUAAAGCAUCCGUAUAUUUUAGAAAUAGGAUGACAACAUUAAAAAAUAUAAUACCGUUUUCGAAUUUUGAGACUUAAUAAUUCAUCGCAAGACACUAUUAGCUUUCCAAUUUUGUUUUAAUCUCUCAUCUUAUUUCUUUCUUAGAAUCACUAUUGCUAGAAGAUUGCACAAAUUGCAUAUCCACCCGUGUUUGACGUAAAAAUUUCGAUUUGAAGUCGCAUUAUCGUUCUUAACAUCGCGCUCCGAAUACGUAGCACUCUUUCACGAAACUCUUUAUGGAACACUCCGAGAGCGUGCUUGAAAAAUUCUGACCUACUGUUGGUGACCUAAUGAGUAUAGAAAUUGCUUGGAAUCAAAUGGAAUGAAGAAAUUUGCGGCAUUCUCAGUUCCCCAGGAAUGUUUUUAUUAAGCGUUCGAGUUCGAAGUGUUCGUGUCCGGACUCUCGACGAGUGUUACUCGCUAUUGAAGUUGUCGAGUUUCUUCUCGCUUUUUAUAAUUAUAACCUUGAAACGUGGAAACCGCAGGUGGAACGGAUCUUCUCGUACACCUUUUUUACACCUGCCGGUCAUCCCUCUUCAGGGAAUUUCUUGGCUGUGCUGUGAGCUUAAACACGCGAGACUUGGACCACGCGUGGGAUAGUUUGAUCAGUUUGAUGACUUAUUGGCGAAAUUUAUCGAUUAACCGACUUUGAAACAUCUGUCAUACGUUCUACGUAAUUAGGUUUUAAAAAUAAAUUAUUACGAUAUGAUUAGAACGAAUGAGAAGUUUUUAUAAUUAAGAUUAAUUAAAUAUGGUAUCUAUUUAUCAUAUAACAUGUACAGUAGAAUUCGUUGCUAUGCGACCUUGUCAGAUAUUUUGAAAUUGCACAAUCAAAUGUUUUAUUAUCUGGAAACAGAUUCGAUCUUGAAUUAUUCUGUGGGCAAAUUAAGAUUCUUAAACAUUUUGUUAUCAAGUACUACAACAAGGUUCAAGUUUCACGAGUCUUACUGUUUGUAUGCGUAUGCUGCUUGGUAUGAUUUCUAAUUUUUAAGAAUACAAUAACUUUUACAAUAAUACACUUAAAUUUAGGAUAAAUCGGUAUAGGAGAUAAUAAUUUAAUUUUGGAAUAUAAUUUCGCAAAAAUUAUUAAAGUUACAAAGAUUGUUAUAUAACUCAUGUUUAACUACCAAUCGUGGCACGCGCUUCACGAUAAGUAAUAUCAAAGUUAUCAAUCGAGAAUAGAAAAUUUAACUCUAAAACUCUUAAAAUUUAAAUCUAACUUAGAGAAUUAGGAAACGAGGGAAGAAAAUGUUACAACUUACAACCAUUCCUUACCCCGAGUUUGUAGUACCUUUGUACAGAGUCGAUAACAUAUUCGUAAUUUAAAAUCACCAAAAUAUUUAUUCCAGUAAACUAUAAUAAAUAAAAAGAAAAUAAAUAUGAAAAUAGGGUAUAAAGCAAAAAUGAAAUAUAAAUAAAAUAUAUAAAUAAAAAAGAAUACAGUAUCGUGUAAAAGCCUUAGAUAGUCUCAAAAGUCUCAAAAAGUAUAUCAAAUAGAGAUAUUUUAUUUCGACGAACGAAUAUAAAAAUAGUACUUGUUAUGUUAAAUAUUUAAGAAGUUUUUAAAACGAAGAAGUAUCAAUGAUAUAGUUAAAUUUUGAUAAAAUAAUAUAUCUAAUAUAAUAACACGAGAUUUUUUGGAGAUCCUGUUCAAUAAUUUCAAUAAAUUCAUUUAUCCGUUAUUUCUUUCUAUUAUAUUUCAAACUAUCGUUUAUAUCUUUUACUUCCUUUCGUUUCACGGUUCAUUCCAAAUCGGUCUGUACAUGUUUUAUAGCAUUUAAUUUAAGACUCUACCUAUCGAGGUAAUGUCUGUAAAGAGUGUUCCUGAAAAGUCUGUAAAUUAAAAAAGAUUACAAGCAAGUAGCUUUUAUGUUACACAAUGCGAAAAUGUUUCGUGUAAAUGUAAUUUUUCCAUUACGAAAUCACUACGCUUACGUAUAUUUAGAAGAUUUUUACACAGUCAUACAUGCAGCUAAUUCAAAAUUAUUCUAAACUUUUUGCGAUUGCACAAAUGUAUGGAUCGGUUGUAACGUUACAUUCAAUUAUGACCAAUGAUGUUGCAGUCAUCUCCUGCUAUGUUCUUGAACUUUGAUCGCAAAAUUUUCAUUGAUGACGCAUUUAAAAGUGCAAAGUACGUUACAAGUUACAUAUAAGGAAGAUUAGAUUAAAAAUUGUAUCAAAUAAAAAUGCUAUACGUAUACAGAAUCGCAAAUUUUAAGUAUUCUAAAGCAUCACAGUAUUAAUUUACGAAAUUGUAAAGUUAUUUUGGUCGUUGCAGACGCCUACUGUAUAUCUAGUCGGUUAAUAUAUUGAUAGGUACACGUUAGUUGCAAUCUUUUGCCAUAUAAUUAACACCUGUUACUUUUGCAAAGCUCUACAUGUAUGUGGUAUAAUAUGAAAUUAAAAUUUUACAAAAAAAUAUAUGAACAUUAAGUUGUACGUCUAUUGUUGUCUCGCGAUACACAAAUUAUUCGUAAUUCGUAAGUAACUAUUCGAUAUUUUUCACAUAUUAAAUGUACCUUUCCAAUGAUAUAUCUUUGAAAGAAGAUGCAUUUUUCAUGCAUGCUUUAUUUUAUAAUAACAUUUAAAUAGACUCUAAUAACGUUUGAUAGAGUUGUUAAUUAAUCCAGUUGAAUUUAAAUAAAUUUGAAUAAGAUAUACGGAUUGAAUAAGAUAUAGACAUACGACCUUAAAAUUUUAUAUUUUUUAUUAUAUUUUUAUUUUAGCUGAAAAAUACGCAUGUAGAUUGUUAAAUUUUUAAACUCCUGAUUUUUACUCCAUUUUGAGUCAUCUCUUUGUGAGUUUGGUAUUCGUUCCACGAAUUGAGGCCCACAACACUAAUAUAUAUAUAUAUAUUGUUUGCAUAUAUAACGUAAAUUUAUAAGAAACUCGAGUAACAAUAAACUCACAUUAAUAAUUGGAAAUGCUCGUUUAUGCCGAGCAUGCGCAAGAUGCUACAUGUCGCUUUUUGUUACGAAAGAAGGAAAGUUCAGAAAAAGACUGCUGCGAGUUUGAAGCACGCAUUUUUAUUUGCUGUCCGCGUUCUGCGCGUCUCGACGAUUUUCGAUUAUGCGGCCAGUGAAUCAUGUAUUU